CGGGCUAUAGCGCAGCUUGGUAGCGCGUUCGUCUGGGGGACGAGAGGUCGCAGGUUCGAAUCCUGCUAGCCCGACCA
rnacentral:tRNA from 4 species